rnacentral:rRNA from 1 species
UACACUCCUGCGGGAGGCAGCAGUGAGGAAUAUUGGACAAUGGGUGGAAGCCUGAUCCAGCCAUCCCGCGUGCAGGAAGACGGCCCUAUGGGUUGUAAACUGCUUUUAUCUGGGGAUAAACCUACUUACGUGUAAGUAGCUGAAGGUACCAGAAGAAUAAGCACCGGCUAACUCCGUGCCAGCAGCCGCGGUAAUACGGAGGGUGCAAGCGUUAUCCGGAUUUAUUGGGUUUAAAGGGUCCGUAGGCGGACUGAUAAGUCAGUGGUGAAAUCCGACAGCUUAACUGUCGAACUGCCAUUGAUACUGUUAGUCUUGAGUAAGGUUGAAGUGGCUGGAAUAAGUAGUGUAGCGGUGAAAUGCAUAGAUAUUACUUAGAACACCAAUUGCGAAGGCAGGUCACUAAGUCUUAACUGACGCUGAUGGACGAAAGCGUGGGGAGCGAACAGGAUUAGAAACCCUAGUAGUCCCAUG